UACAGAGGUCUCAAGCGUUGUUCGGAUUCAUUGGGCGUAAAGGGUGCGUAGGCGGCGCGGUAAGUCGGGUGUGAAAUCUCGGAGCUUAACUCCGAAACUGCAUUCGAUACUGCCGUGCUUGAGGACUGGAGAGGGAGACUGGAAUUUACGGUGUAGCGGUGAAAUGCGUAGAUAUCGUAAGGAAGACCAGUGGCGAAGGCGGGUCUCUGGACAGUUCCUGACGCUGAGGCACGAAGGCCAGGGGAGCAAACGGG
rnacentral:rRNA from 1 species